rnacentral:rRNA from 1 species
AGUGAACGCUGGCGGUAGGCCUAACACAUGCAAGUCGUACGGCAGCACAGUAAGAGCUUGCUCUUACGGGUGGCGAGUGGCGGACGGGUGAGGAAUACAUCGGAAUCUACUUUUUCGUGGGGAUAACGUAGGGAAACUUACGCUAAUACCGCAUACGACCUACGGGUGAAAUCAGGGGAUCUUCGGACCUUGCGCGAUUGAAUGAGCCGAUGUCGGAUUAGCUAGUUGGCGGGGUAAAGGCCCACCAAGGCGACGAUCCGUAGCUGGUCUGAGAGGAUGAUCAGCCACACUAGAACUGAGACACGGUCCAGACUCCUACGGGAGGCAGCAGUGGGGAAUAUUGGACAAAGGGCGCAAGCCUGAUCCAGCAAUACCGCGUGGGUGAAGAAGGCCUUCGGGUUGUAAGGCCCUUUUGUUGGGAAAGAAAAGCAGCAGGUUAAUACCCCGCUGUUCUGACGGUACCCAAAGAAUAAGCACCGGCUAACUUCGUG